GAGUCGCUAGCUCAGUUGGUAGAGCAACGGCCUUUUAAGCCGUGGGUCGUGGGUUCGAGCCCCACGCGACUCA
rnacentral:tRNA from 1 species